rnacentral:rRNA from 1 species
UACGGAGGGUGCAAGCGUUAUCCGGAUUCACUGGGCUUAAAGGGUGCGUAGGCGGUCAGGUAAGUCAGUGGUGAAAUCUUUGGGCUUAACCCGAAAACUGCCAUUGAUACUAUCUGUCUUGAAUAUUGUGGAGGUUUGCGGAAUAUGUCAUGUAGCGGUGAAAUGCUUAGAUAUGACAUAGAACACCUAUUGCGAAGGCAGCAAACUACGCAUAUAUUGACGCUGAGGCACGAAAGCGUGGGGAUCAAACAGG